UGGGGAAUAUUGCACAAUGGGCGCAAGCCUGAUGCAGCCAUGCCGCGUGUGUGAAGAAGGCCUUCGGGUUGUAAAGCACUUUCAGCGAGGAGGAAGGGUUCAGUGUUAAUAGCACUGUUCAUUGACGUUACUCGCAGAAGAAGCACCGGCUAACUCCGUGCCAGCAGCCGCGGUAAUACGGAGGGUGCAAGCGUUAAUCGGAAUUACUGGGCGUAAAGCGCACGCAGGCGGUUUGUUAAGUCAGAUGUGAAAUCCCCGCGCUUAACGUGGGAACUGCAUUUGAAACUGGCAAGCUAGAGUCUUGUAGAGGGGGGUAGAAUUCCAGGUGUAGCGGU
rnacentral:rRNA from 1 species